GUCCCUAUCGUCUAGUGGUUUAGGACACUGCCCUUUCACGGCAAUAACAUGGGUUCGAAUCCCAUUAGGGAUA
rnacentral:tRNA from 1 species